AUGCAAAAUCAUGGCAUGAAACAGCAUGCCCAUCUGGCCUUAGCUGUGCUGUAUUUUAAUGCUGUCCAAGGUAUCAACACUACUACACUUCCAAACAGCGAUUCAGAAAAGAGGAUUCGAUCUGCAAAAAACAAGAGACUGGCUGAGGCACUCAACACUUCCGGGUUUUAUAGUCCCUUCGGAAGGGGCGUGGCCUUCAGCCUAGGCAGUACACAAGUGUCGCCACGUGUUGGCGGAAGCUGGGAAGCCCCGAAGACCGGUGAGUUGAGGGAGGAGCAGCUGUUGACGAUGGAUGUGAGGAGAAGGACUGGUAGGAGAGGGACUUGGUUAUUACCUCCAGCAACUUCAAAGUCGGCUGCAGGAGGUGCCCCGGGAUACAGGGGCGGAUGGACGGCAGAGGAGAAGGACGCUUGGUCACAGGACUGCAGGCUUCUUGGAUCGCGGGCGAACCAGGACUUCUAACAUGUGGCCUGGACUUUGGACUGUUUGUGUUUUCUGUUUUUUUAAAUAUUUUAACCAGCGGCAAAACUGCGGUAACUGUGCAUUUGUGGUUGUGCAAAUGAAUUGUGCAUACGUAAGAAUAAAGAACCAUUGAAAAUUGCAAUCAUGAAAUAACACCUUCUCAUUAGCAUCCUGCCAAGAGAUCAGUCUCGUGGAGGCAAAUUACAAUUGUCCUAACUUCUCAAGUUUCAUUAAAACCAAAAUAUCUAAAAGAGCAGCAAUAAUUAAUGCACAGAAUGGGAAUUUCCUUCCAACAUUUUAAGUACAAUGCAAAAUCCUUCUGGCAUCAGGGCUGUUGCACUUUGGAACUCCAUCUGGCAAAUAAAAAAAACAAUAUCUGCAAAAAAGAAAUGGUCACAAAAUAAAUCUUAUGCCACAGUUUUGGAAGGUUCCAUUAGCUUAUAGUGUACUUGUAUAUUUCUUCCUUCAAUGACAAUGAUGCUAUGCGCUUGGAUGUUACCAUAAGAAUGUAUUUGUUCCCGCUUCAUAGAUUCGGAUCCAUUAUAAAUUAUAGUAGAAUUAAGCCAUUCAGCCCAUCGAGUCCACUCCGCCAUUCAAUCAUGGCUGAUCUCUGCCUCCUAAUCCCAUUUUCCUGCCUUCUCCUCGUAACCCUUGAUACCCGUUAGUUCGUUGUACAAACCUUCACUUACUCUCAACCACUACGAUUUCAUCGGAAAAACAACUUGCAACAACAAAUGUAAUGUAUGUGUUGUGCUCUUCCCCCGAUGCACUUCGCUGUGGUCUCAACCACCUCUGCACCAUGUCACUUGUGCAGCAAGCACACACUUCAAAUUAUGCCAUUUAAUAAUGCUUAGCGUAAAUUUCUGCUGAUAAGCUUCACAAUAAUCAAUGCAUCCUUGAGAGGGGACGACUGGGAUUUCUAAUGAUCCAGUAGCAAAGGAUUCUCUCUCAAAAAAAAGGGAAUUGUUAGUAUGAAAAUUGUAAACCAGUAAAUUUCUACCUCAAAUAAUGCUCCCGAUCUGCUUGAAGUUAUCCCAAACUAUGCAAUUGGGGUCGCCAUUGGUCAGGCAUUGGCUGAGCAGCUGAUUCAAAAUUUAGCAGUGGGGGCAAGAGGGAUUAUCAGUUUUCCAAAUCUAGCUUCUUCUAUGAUUAUUAAAAAUUCAAUCUAUGUUCAAAUCAAACAAAGGCCUUACCCAGGGUUAUCUACGACUUGACCUUCAGAACCACAACUCUGCUUUGACUGCUAUUUCGCGCUCCCCAAAGCAUGGACAAAUCAGAAGACCAUAAGACAUAGGAGCAGAAUUAGGCCAUUCAGCCCAACGAGUCUGUUAUGCUAUUCAAUCAUGGCUGAACGUUUUUACCUCUCAACCUGAUUCUCAAGAAAUACACCUGGCCUAGGAUAAUUGAGUGGAUUCCCUCCUUCACACAUGCAUAACAUGGCUCAUGUAAACUGAGAACUUCUUGCAAAGGCCUGGGUGAAAAAAUAAAUAUUAACCAUUUUUAGUUUAGUUUAUGGAUACAGCGCGAGAACAGGCCCUUUGGCCCAACAAAUCCGCGCCGACCAGCGAUCCCCACACGCUAACAUAUCCUGGACAUACUAGAGACAAUUUACAAUCAUACCAAGCCAAUUAACCUACAGACUGUACAUCUUUGGAGUGUGGGAGGAAACCAGAGAAAACCACGCAGGUCGCGGGGAGAACGUACAAACUCUGUACAGACAGUACCCAUAUUCAAGAUCGGACCCGGGUCUCUGGCGGCGUAAGUAUAUUAAUUGUUCCAUUAUAAGUUGCAGAUGCAGGUGUGCAGAGCAGUCUUAUAGGAACUUUUUUUUGAAUGCUCAUCAUAAAUGACUCUUUUGUGAGCAGCUGUAUUUCAGUGACCUUUUGAUACUGAACUGUUUCCACGGCUGUUCAGCACAUUACGUCACUACUUCAGGAAGGAACUUGUCGAUCUUAGAUGUGCAGACACAGGUGGUGCACAAUAGCACACAUAUAGCCCUUUGCAGCUUGACUAUGCUCUCAGAAUUCAGAGAUAUCAUUGACUAAAACCCAUGUCGUAUGAAUCCAAAAAGCACCAGCGGUUUUCCCAAAAAGACACAACUUUUCAGAGAAAACCCCCCACAAAUUUAUAGUUUCUGUAAAAAGGAUUUUUUUUUUGCUGUUUCAUGCUCACAAUUGUGAUUUUCAAUUCAAAACUCUUUCCAGGAAAGGUUGAAAACUAAACUGGAAGGACAUUUUUGUAGAAAUUCAACAUAAUUUAAAACAGGAUAAAGCUACUUAAUCUAGUUCAAGUUCAAGUGAGUUUAUUGUCAUGUGGCCCUGUAUAGGACAAUGAAAUUCUUGCUUUGUUUAAGCACACAGAAAAUAGUAGGCAUUUACUACAAAACAGAUAAAUGUGUCCAUAUACCAUGAUAUAAAUAUAUACACACAUGAAUAAAUAAAAGUGCAAAUAGCAGAAAGUGGUUAUUAAUAAUCAGAGUUUUGUCCGAGCCAGGUUUAAUAGCCUGAUGGCUGUGGGGAAGUAGCUAUUCCUGAACCUGGUUGUUGCAGUCUUCAGGCUCCUGUACCUUCUACCUGAAGGUAGCAGGGAAAUGAGUGUGUGGCCAGGAUGGUGUGGGUCUUUGAUGAUACUGCCAGCCUUUUUGAGGCAGUGACUGUGAUAAAUCCCCUCGAUAAAAGGAAGGUGAGAGCCGAUGAUGGUGUGGGCAGUGUUUACUACUUUUUGUAGUCUUUUCCUCUCCAGGGCGCUCAAAUUGCCGAACCAAGCCACGAUGCAACCUGUCAGCAUGCUCUCUACUGUGCAACUGUAGAAGUUAGAGAGAGUCUUCCUUGACAAACCGACUCUCCGUAAUCUUCUCAGGAAGUAGAGGCGCUGAUGAGCUUUUUUGAUAGUUGCGUUAGUGUUCUCAAACCAGGAAAGAUCUUCAGAGAUGUGCAUGCCCAGGAAUUUGAAGCUCUUGACCCUUUCAACCAUUAAAUGGGGCUGUGGGUCCCCCUCCUACUCCUUCCAAAGUCCACAAUCAGUUCAUUGGUUUUGCUGGUGUUGAGGGCCAGGUUAUUGCACUGGCACCAUAUGGACAGUUGCUCAAUCUCCCUUCUAUAUUCUGACUCAUCCCCAUCAGUGAUACGCCCCACAAUAGUGGUGUCGUCAGCGAACUUGAUGAUGGAGUUCGCACUGUGGUUGGCUACGCAGUCAUGGGUAUAGAGUGAGUACAGCAGGGGGCUGAGCACGCAGCCUUGAGGUGCUCCCGUGCUGAUUGUUAUCGAGGCUGACACAUUUCCACCAAUACGAACAGACUGUGGUCUGUGGAUGAGGAAGUCGAGGAUCCAGUUGCAGAGGGAUAUGCAGAGACCCAGUUCUGCGAGUUUGGUAACCAGUUUGGAGGGGAUGAUUGUGUUGAAUGCCGAGCUGUAAUCGAUGAAUAACAGCCUGACAUAUGAGUUUUUGUUGUCCAAGUGGUCCAGUGCGGAGUGGAGGGCCAGCGAGAUCGCAUCCACUGUUGAUCUGUUGUGGCGGUAAGCGAACUGCAGUGGGUCCAGGUUUUUGUCGAGGUAGGAGUUGAUUUGCUCCAUGAUCAGCCUCUCAAAGCACUUCAUCACCACCAGUGUUAGUGCCACUGGUCGAUAGUCAUUGAGGCACGUCACCUUACUCUUCUUGGGCACGGGUAUAAUUGAUGAUAGGCAUGAUCAACCCCAAAGAGAUGUGCAAACAGUGUGAUUUAGAAGAUUGGAACUGUAAAGAUUUAUUUUCAAAAAAUAUUUCACCAAAUUGGAUUCCAAAUAUUUGCUAUACCCUUCGCUCCAUUAGAGAAUGAUGUUGUCAAACUGAAGAGGGUACAGAAAAGAUUUACAAGAAUGUCGGCUGGGCUAGAGGGUCUGAGCUACAGGGAGAGGUUGAGUAGGCUGGGACUCUAUUCCUUGGAGCGCAGGAGGAUGAAGGGUGAUCUUAUUGAGAUGUAUAAAAUCAUAAGAGAAAUAAAUUGGGAAGAUGCACAGAGUCUCUUGCCCAGAGUAGGUGAAUCGAGGACCAGGUUUAAGGUGACGGGGAAAAGAUUUAAUACGAAUCUGAGGGGUAACAUUUUCACACAAAGGGUGCUGGAGGAGGUUGAGGCAGGGUCUAUCCCAACAUUUAAGAAACAGUUGGACAGGUACAUGGAUAGGACAGGUUUGGAGGGAUAUGGACCAAACGCGGGCUGUUGGGACUAGUGUAACUGUGACAUGUUGGCCAGUGUGGGCAAGUUAGGCUGAAGGGCCUGUUUCUACACUGUAUCACUAUAUGACACUAUGACAGAAAGCUCAUAGAAGCUUUGGAGACGGUGCAGAAGAUGUUAACCAGAAUGUUGCCUGGAUUAGAGGAUAUUAGCUAUAAGCAAAGGUUGGAAAAACUCAGAUAGUUUUGUCUGGAGCAUCAGAGACUGAGGAGAGACCCAACAGAACUAUAUACAAAUUGUGAGAGACAUACAUAGGGUAGAGUCAAAACUGUUAUUCCAGGGUGGAAAUGUCAAGGACUAGAGGGCAUAGCUUUAAGAUGAGUGGGACAAUGUUUAAAGGAGAUGUGUGAGGCAAGAUUUUCUUUUUACAUUGAGAAUGGUGGAUGCCUGAAAUGCGUUGCCAAGGAUGGUGGUAUUGGCAGACAUGAUAGUGGCAUUUAAGAGACUUUUACAUAGAUAAAUAGAUUUCUAGGGAAUGGAGGGGUAUUGGACCACAUGCAGGCAGAGGAGAUUAGUCUAACCUGGCAUCAUGUCUGGUGUAAGUAUUCGAUGUUUUGUAUUCUAUAUUCACAGCUGGCUGCAAACUAAAUUCAAUGAUCACAGCCAGAGCAAGGGCGAUAGAAAGAAAAAGCCCAAUUGUUUGUACAUUGCCCAGAUGUCUAUGCAAUGACAUUUUGAGCAUGCAUAAAGGAAAGAAGAAGGAAAUAAAUGCAAUAAACAAGGGACAGGGCAGAGAAGGUGGCAGAGUUAUAUUUGCUGGGAUGUGGUUUCACUGAGUGCAGGUCCUGUUAAAAGUAGGGCAAUCACAAUUUUAAUGCUGCUUUCAGGAAGGUAUAAAUCCUCAAAAGAUACACAUGGGGUUCCCUCCUGCUAUCCAAAGUUGAUCCGGAGUUUGGAGAGGAAUGGGUAAAGAAAUUGUUCUCUGGGGAAGAUGAGAAGCUUCUGCCUACCAAUACUCACAAACAUUUACCUAAACAUUCCAGGAAAUGCACCAGCAAACAAGCAUAUGUAAGAGCCAAUC